rnacentral:rRNA from 1 species
GACGUAGGGCGCGAACGUUGUCCGGAUUUACUGGGCGUAAAGCGCGCGUAGGCGGACUGGUAAGUCAGAGGUGAAAGUCUCCCGGCUCAACUGGGAUAGGCCCUUUGAUACUGCCAGCCUUGAGAUGCCUAGGAGGAGGAGUGGAAUUCCCGGUGUAGUGGUGGAAUGCGUAGAUAUCGGGAGGAACACCAGUGGCGAAAGCGGGCUCUCUGGGGGC